AGAGAUGUAGCACAGUGGUAGAGCGCUUGCCUAGCAUACACGAGGCCCUGUGUUCAAUUCCCAGUAUCACCA
rnacentral:tRNA from 1 species